AUUGAGACGCUUAUCCUUGCAUCGAGAUCACCAGGUUGCAUUCGGGUUGCUCCAAUUGCUAAAAUGAUUCAACUACUGCGAGGCUAUGCAGUCGAGUACGCGGCACUAAAAUCGGUGACGAAUUGAAAAUAAAACUGAUCCACGCAUUUGGCGGGCUACCCUGACCUAGUUCAGGUGCGGGUAUGAUUCCUGCCUUGUUCUCCGAGACAUUUGCAAGCUGAGAUAUAUCGCCCCGGGGAACUCGCCGCCCUCUGAACCUCUUCUACACAUUUCUAGUGACUUAGCAUGAUACUGUGCUUAGAACAAAAAUAUAACAGGAUCCUGGGAUUUCAAUCGAUCUAACAUUAAUGCUCCGUAAUGUAGCCUUCAAAUAUCUUGUAUAAACGUUCCUAUGAAUUUUCAUGUAAAGUAAAGAAAAAAAAUCAUACAUUAAUAUAAACCAACGGCUGUUUAUGCGUGGAAAACACAUAUAAAGAUAGUUAUGUCAACGUUUCCACAAUACCUAGUGUAUAUAGUAAAUAUCAUAUACAUUAUGUAUGCACUAGCAGUCACUCUUGUUUAUUUUCUUGACUGGUUAAUAAUUACUUAAGAAUAAGCGUUAUUGAUUUUAAUAGCACUAGGAUCUUUUGCUAAAAAACUUGAGCUACAAAAAAAAGCGCGCAACGUCUACUACUAUUAAGUUGUAAGUUAUAAUAUAAUUUAAUAAUUAUCCGGGUAAUUAUUUAUUACCUGAUUAAAUAUCGGAUGUUGAUAACAAUUCAAAUGAGUGUACUAAAUUUUCUUUUGGUUUAAAUAUCAAUAUUUUCUCAGUUUAUAAGAUUUAUUAUUAUAUUAUGUUGUCGAUAAUAAAUUGCAAACGCAAACAACUCUAGGAAAUGUUUAUUAUUUCUUUAUAAUCAUAACCGGUUGUUGUAAACAUUUUUGUUGCAUAAUAACAACGGUGAAACCAUACAAGUGUUGACUCUAUGUGCGAAUGCCCUGGUGACUCAAAUACUUUACGUAAAUACAUAAUUCGAUUAUCCACCUUUUAGUUCGCGUGUCAUCUCAUAUGCGCGUCCGGAUGCGACACGAAACGCGGAGAGAUACUAUAAGAGCGUCGGGUAGCUUUGGAGGUCACGUACUUGGGUUAAUUUUUUCCUAUCAUUCAACUCUUAAAUAUAAAGUUAAUCAAAAAUAAUUUAUUUUGUUAAUA